rnacentral:rRNA from 1 species
UGGGGAAUUUUGGACAAUGGGCGAAAGCCUGAUCCAGCAAUGCCGCGUGUGUGAAGAAGGCCUUCGGGUUGUAAAGCACUUUUGUCCGGAAAGAAAUCCUUGGCUCUAAUACAGUCGGGGGAUGACGGUACCGGAAGAAUAAGCACCGGCUAACUACGUGCCAGCAGCCGCGGUAAUACGUAGGGUGCAAGCGUUAAUCGGAAUUACUGGGCGUAAAGCGUGCGCAGGCGGUUUGCUAAGACCGAUGUGAAAUCCCCGGGCUCAACCUGGGAACUGCAUUGGUGACUGGCAGGCUAGAGUAUGGCAGAGGGGGGUAGAAUUCCACGUNUAGCAGUGAAAUGCGUAGAGAUGUGGAGGAAUACCGAUGGCGAAGGCAGCCCCCUGGGCAAUACUGACGCUCGUGCACGAAAGCGUGGGGAGCAAACAGGAUUAGAUACCCUGGUAGUCCACGCCCUAAACGAUGUC